rnacentral:rRNA from 1 species
UGAUUGGCGAUAAGCGUGGUACCGAAGCUCUGGAUGUCCACUGGUUUCGACCGGUGGGCGUGGUAGGGGAGCGUUGUAGCGGCCUUGAAGCGGGAACGUAAGUAACCGUGGAGCUUCUACAAGUGAGAAUGCAGACAUGAGUAGCGAAAAGACAGGUUGAAUUCCUGUCCGCCGUAAACCCAAGGUUCCCUGGGGAAGGUUCGUCCUCCCAGGGUUAGUCGGGUCCUAAGUCGAGGCCGAUGGGCGUAGACGAUGGCCAGCAGGUUCAAUAUUCCUGCACCGCCGACAUUUAAGUAUGGGGGACAUGUGUGAGGAGAAGAUCCGGGUGUUGAAUAUCCCGGUUGCGCAAGCUGACGUGGCGACUUCGGUCAAAGCGGAUUCUUUAAAUCAUGCAUCGAGAAAAGCCCAUAUGUAUACUAAGGCGCCCGUACCGGAAACCGACACAGGUGGGUGGGCAUAAAUGUGCCAAGGCGCGUGAGUGAAACCUCGUUAAGGAACUCGGCAAUCUAGCCCCGUAACUUCGGAAGAAGGGGUGCCUCUUUUAUUAGAGGUCGCAGUGAAAUGGGUGUACCGACUGUUUAUCAAAAACACAGCACUCUGCUAACUCGCAAGAGAACGUAUAGGGUGUGACGCGUGACCAAUGCGGAAAGAUUACGGUAAGUGGUUAGCGCAAGCGAAGCUACGAGCCCAAGUCCCCGUGAAUGUCGGCCGUAACUAUAACGGUCCUAAGGUAGCGAAAUUCCUUGUCGGGUAAGUUCCGACCUGCACGAAUCGUGUAACGAGUGCACCGCUGUCUCAACGAGGAGCUCAGCGAAGUUGUAAUGGCGGUGAAGAUGCCGCCUACCCGCAGCAGGACGGAAAGACCCUAUGCACCUUUACUGUACGCUGUUACUGUGUUUUCGGUUUUCAUGCUUAGCGUAAGUGGGAGACUUUGAUACCUUCCUUUCGGGGGAGGUUGAGUCGCCAAUGAAACACCACCCUUGGGGACUGGAAACUCUAACCCUCGCCCAUGAUCUGGGGAGGGGACACUGGCAGCCGGUCAGUUUUACUGGGGCGGUAUCCUCCUAAAGAGUAACGGAGGAGUACGAAGGUUGGCUCAGCCCGGUUGGCAAUCGGGUGACGAGUAUAUGGAUAUAAGCCAGCCUAACUGUGAGACCUACAAGUCGAGCAGAUGCGAAAGCAGGUCCAAGUGAUCCGGUGGUUUGAAAGUGGAAUCGCCAUCGCUCAACGGACAAAAGGUACGCUAGGGAUAACAGGCUGAUCGAGUCCAAGAGCUCAUAUCGACGACUCGGUUUGGCACCUCGAUGUCGGCUCAUCACAUCCUGGGGCUGGAGAAGGUCCCAAGGGUCCGGCUGUUCGCCGGUUAAAGUGGUACGCGAGCUGGGUUCAGAACGUCGCGAGACAGUUCGGUCCUUAUCCGCUGUGGGCGCAGGAAAAUUGAGGGGUUUAAACCUUAGUACGAGAGGACCGGGUUUAACGAACCUCUGGUGUUCCAGUUGUCGUGUCAACGGCAGUGCUGGGCAGCUACGUCCGGAAGGGAUAAGCGCUGAAAGCAUCUAAGCGCCAAGCCUCUCCCAAGAUUGAUUUUCCCUGAAGAGUCGUGGUAGACCACCACGUUGAUAGGUCAUAGGUAUAAGCGCAGUAAUGUGUUCAGCUUAAUGAUACUAAUAACUCGUCCGGCUUGAUCG